rnacentral:rRNA from 1 species
UACGGGGGGGCAAGCGUUGUUCGGAAUUAUUGGGCGUAAAGAGCUCGUAGGCGGUCUGUCGCGUCUGCUGUGAAAACUCAGGGCUUAACCCUGAGCUUUGCAGUGGGUACGGGCAGACUAGAGUGCGGUAGGGGAGACUGGAAUUCCUGGUGUAGCGGUGAAAUGCGCAGAUAUCAGGAGGAACACCGGUGGCGAAGGCGGGUCUCUGGGCCGUAACUGACGCUGAGGAGCGAAAGCAUGGGGAGCGAACAGG